AAAGGACAAAUGAUGAUUACAUAGUUCAGCUGACUUCUGUGAUGAACAAUCUUUCGCUCCUAUCUGAUGUACCUU